GGAGGGGUUCCCGAGUGGCCAAAGGGAGCUGACUGUAAAUCAGCUGCGUAAGCUUCGGUGGUUCGAAUCCGCCCCCCUCCA
rnacentral:tRNA from 2 species